UACGAAGGGGGCUAGCGUUGCUCGGAAUCACUGGGCGUAAAGGGUGCGUAGGCGGGUCUUUUAAGUCAGGGGUGAAAUCCUGGAGCUCAACUCCAGAACUGCCUUGAUACUGAAGAUCUUGAGUUCGGGAGAGGUGAGUGGAACUGCGAGUGUAGAGGUGAAAUUCGUAGAUAUUCGCAAGAACACCAGUGGCGAAGGCGGCUUACUGGUCCGGUUCUGACGCUGAGGCGCGAAAGCGUGGGGAGCAAACAGG
rnacentral:rRNA from 1 species